GUGACAAUUAACUGUUUGGAACAGUGAAAUUAUCAGUUUUAAUUCACAGAUAUUUCUCUAUAAACCACCGAACACGUCGUCGUACUUUGACUUUUUGGCAAGAUAUUUCGGCAGUUGAAAAGAUUGGAUGACAAAUAGACUCCAUCAGUGUGCUGCGAUUGGCAUGUCUUUUCCCGCUUUUGAUUUAUGCUAUUACAUAAUUAUAACAUACUGAACAUGAUCGUUUUCAUAUAUUUAUCGUAAAUAUACCAAAUAUUCAACACU